rnacentral:lncRNA from 1 species
GGGGAUGAUUUCUGAUGUAAUGAAUGGGAGUGUUAGCUGUGUUGUAAUGUGUUGAUUGGUUGUGCUUCAAAACCCUGUGGGCAGUACUAUGUUUGUAGAAUGUGAAUAAAAGAGGCUGUAUGUGCCAGUACAGACAGUUCUUCUUCACCCUCAAUCUAGAGUCCUGUCUCUUAUUGGGGGAAUCGCUAUAUCACCACAAGGGAUUGCUAUGCUCUGCAUACUCCCU